UACGUAGGGGGCUAGCGUUAUCCGGAAUUACUGGGCGUAAAGGGUGCGUAGGCGGUCUUUCAAGCCAGAAGUGAAAGGCUACGGCUCAACCGUAGUAAGCUUUUGGAACUGUAAGACUUGAGUGCAGGAGAGGAGAGUGGAAUUCCUAGUGUAGCGGUGAAAUGCGUAGAUAUUAGGAGGAACACCAGUAGCGAAGGCGGCUCCCUGGACUGUAACUGACGCUGAGGCACGAAAGCGUGGGGAGCAAACAGGAUUAGAUACCCCCGUAGUCCCUGAG
rnacentral:rRNA from 1 species